UGAGUAAAUAAUUUAUUAUCUCACCUAAAUCUCCCCUCUUUUAGUUUAAAGCCAUUUCCCCUUGUCAUAUCAGUAUCAGACCAUGUAAAAAGUUAGUCCCCCUCCUGCCACAAUGAGGUCUCUCCACAUCCAUCUCUUCCCCAAGCUAAGCAAGUCCAGCUCCCUCAACCUUUCUUCAUAGGAGAGGCAUUCUAGCCCUUUGAUCAUCUUUGUGGCACCCUUCUUGUCCUGAAAUAGCAAGUCAGUGACAGAAUAUAGCAGUGUGUUGUUACAUGACAUGGCAAAGGGUUUUGACUCCUCGAGUCUCUUUCCCCCUAGACAGGAAGAAAAUAAUAAUACAAACAAGCAAACAAAUAAAUAAAUUGAGGUGUCCAUAGGACUUCGGGAUGCUUAGGUAUGUCAGCUGGAGUUUACACUCCAAAAGCCAGCUGAAAUUUCUCACAUGGACCUGACUGAAAUAGGAGAAGAGAGAACAGAGAACUGGGAAGAGGAAGGAAACAAGGAGAAAAUACACGAAGUACGAGAAAAGUAAAAGGAGAGCAUGUGGACAGCAAAGGAACUGCCCAGUUGGGAGGUAUCCAUAGACAUCUAUCUCUAAAACUUUGACUCAUGCCAAAUGGAUACUCCUGUGAGACUACCCACAGAAAUUUACGUGGCCCAUAAAAAUUACUGCCUACUAGCUUGUAUAGUGCUUUGUGAAAAUACAUCUGCAAGAGGCUCCUGGCAGCCUAAAAGCAGGAUUGGAGAAACCACAAAAUCCACAAGCAUGUUACGUGAUCAGCAUUGCUGUGUUUGCAUGGGAUUCCCCAGUUAUGAAAAGGCAACAUUAAGAAGACAAAAGGAGUGCUGAACUGUAGCAGUAAAACAUUCAAAUGGCAAUUAUGUCCUAGAGGAGAGAUGAAGUAGAAGAUGACCUUAUAAACAUCUUUAAAAUAAUGGUAUAGGGGAACUAAAGUAAUUUAUUUUUAAGCAAAAACAGGGGAUGUUUCAUGAAGUUGGAAGGCGGAACUCUUAAUCACAAAAAAAUAAAAAAAGGGGUUCAUGGUUACUGUGUGAAAAUUAUUCCCAUGUGCUAUCACUUGGUCCAAGACCUUUGCAAGACUUGAAAAACCAUUGGCCAUAUAAAUGCAUAACAUGAGCAUCCAUCAUUGUGUUACUUAAUGAUUUAAAGUAAAAAAUUGUAAGGUAUGUGAAAGCUCACAGCAAGAGCUUUCCAAUAGUCCAAACUAUAAUAUAAUUCUCCUUCUGGUGUUCCCACACCUUCUUCUGAAUCACCUGCAAAUGGUUAGGAUAUUCCAACAGCAGGAACAGUAGUCUGACACGUUAUAGCACUGUUACACUUGUGUGUUCCUGACCCUGAACAGCUGUGCUUCAUAACUGGAAGGUAUUUAAUUCAGUUUUGAAACUGUACUCUUCUCCAUCUGUCUCUGAGUCUCUAAAGGCCCAUUUAUACCAUUGAAACUCUAUCCUAAAGGGAUGAGGAGUGGCACAAAUGACCCUGGACCUACUGCAAUUGUAUAACGUGGAUGAGAACAAAACCGCUUUCAGGUAUUUUAUAGAAAGUUUGUUUGCGAUUUUGAUUCAACGUUUCUGCUCUCUGCUCUAAACUCUCAAUCACUGAUUGCUUAAUUAGUGCUCUCAGUAACUGAGUCAGACAGUAUUUGAAAACAAACAAACCUGCAAAUCACAUACUAUGUUGAAAUGCUAUUACACUUGCUAGACUGUCUCCUGUUUCUCAGAAUUUCAAAGAGAUAAGCCGGGUAAGGAAUAUCAUCUAGAAGAAUAGCCUCUUCCCCGAUGAACAGUAGCCAACUACUCCUGCAAGUUAGAAGCAAUCCUCUGAGUACCAACAAACUUCUUGUAUUUACAUAUUCCACUUCGAUUUCUUUAUCUUCUGCAGAGCAAAUUAUAAGGCGUUUUUUCAUGUCCAAGUGAGUGUGGCAAGAAAGAAUGUUUCUGUAGCUGGUCUCUCUUUGCACCUCCUGAUUUAAAAUGCUUCUCCUGACCUCAUAAAAUGUCCCAUAUUCUUUUAUUCAUGGCCAUUUUAAACUCUGUUUCCCUUGGAUUAAACAGUACCCCUAUUGUUAACCCACAGCACCUGCCACAUAGGCCCCACAGCUUUUCAUGCUAGCUAAAUUAAUGAAAAGGCUGGGGUUAUUCACUUCAAGGCUUUUAAAUCUCAUUAAAAAACCAGGGGAGAAACAGCAGAUAGUACUGUGGUGAGUAAUACCACAAGUAUCAAUCAUUUGUUUUAUUUGCAGAGGUCAUUAUUCAGGCUGUCCAGUCCAAAAGGAAAUCUCUUUCAUCCAAGCUGUAUGUCUGAGACACAUUUGCUGUACAGAUGUUUCCUAGAACAGCCUGAAAUGAAUAAAUGUCAGAAAAUAUUUUAGAUGGAGCAAAUAAUAAAAGACAUCAUUUGGGUGAAGGAAACCUGCCAUGUAAUGGCAAAGACUGCAUACUGAACAGAGUAUGACAAGGGAAAACAGUUAGGCCUCUUCAAGACUGUGCUAUUUUUCACUUGGAAGUUUAUUUUUGGCUGGUCGAUUGCUCUGUUCUGUAUGAUACCUGUCAAUUCUACAUCAUUCUGUUUUCUUUAUCUAUCACAGCUUGGACACCUUCAAUAUUGUUUUCAAGCAUUAUAAAUCUAGCCAUAGUUUUAAGUAAGCUGAGGUGUGUACUAUCUUGACUAGAAGUUCUCCUUCUUUGGAAAAGUCAUUUGUGCACAGAAAGGGUAAGGCUGGUCUGCAGAUGAUGAAGAACUUUAUAUGAGACAUUUGUAGAAAGUUCAGAUUUUUUCCAUGUGCUCAUUCACACCUUUUGGCCUAAAUAUUUAUACAUAACACAUUUUGUGUCCAUGUGUGUUAUACCAUGAACGUAUAGUAACAUGUUCUAAAUCAGAAACAGAAUAAAAGCUUUACCAAAAUAACGCACAUACCACUGCAACAGACUUCUUCACCCAUGGUCAGAUAAUGAGUGAACAAACACCACAUGACAGAUGUUAGUCAUACCGCUUAAUGAAUAACUGGUGAUGAGUACAAUACCUGUGUAGAAUAGCCAUAAUGUGUUCAAUAAAAUAUACACAUUUGGACCGUCUGUUUUUUUUUUGCAGAGGUAUCCACAGUGCUCAAAAUAAAUGACUUCAUCAGAAAGUCGAGAUAGUUCAACAUUAUUUUUUUUUGUAUUUUCUUGACUGCCAUGUUUUUCAGCCAUCCACAACAGUCAUGGGGUCUUUGAAACUGAAUGAUGAAACCCUAUUUCCUUCAAAGUAUUUUAUAAAGAAAGACUCUAGCCUUCACUUUUUACUUCACCAUGACCUGAAUCUUGCAGCUGAAUGCUGGUAGUACUGAGUACUUAUGAUAGACCUUGACUUUGACACUUGUGCAUGUGAUCAGGGCAGUUCAGAAUACAGCUGCCCCAAAAAACACAGCUUGGACAAUAUUGGCCCUGAACUGGGUUUAUCUUCAUGAUACCUGCAGCACAUUAGUAUUCUAGAUGGUGUGCUGGAGGCUGUUUGAGCACCAUGGCAACAGAAUCAGUGAAUAAUCCAACAAUCUGUUACGUUGUUAUGUAAAACAUUGCUGCUGAGUCUUAUUCUGGUGUGAUUAAAAAAGAGUUAAAUCCUAUUUGUGUACAGUAAUACGUUUGAAUGCCUGCACAUUUCACUGAAAUUUGCAUGCCAAACCAGUUUAAAUUAACUUGCAUCAGUCUUGUGUCACAGCGCAAAAAAGCUUCUCCAGUGCAAUGGAGAAGGUGACAGUAAGACCAGAGAAGAGAAUUCAAGGAGCUGCCAGCCUCCCCCUGUCUCCAAGCGGGGUUGUGUAGCAGCACGUCUGUGUGCAAUGGGAGCCCUUGUAUGGCACCAGGCAGUUUCCACAUCCACAUCGGGCUCCCUUCCAUGCCUACCUCAUGUUUUGUUUGUCUACCUUACAACUCAGUUUAAUAAGCUGUUCCCACCUACUUCUUCCUAUUAUAGAAACAAUGUUACCACAUGAAUUUUAGCAGAAGAAGAGUGGUUGACGGCUUUUCUUUUUUUAUCCCUCUUGGAGAUAACAAAUAAAAACAGGUAAACAUCCCAAAAGCAUUGAAAGGAGCACAUUCUUACAAUUUAUGCUGUUGGUCCAAAUCCUGCAGCAACAUCUUGUUAGGUUAGUCUAGGUAUUAGUUGGGGAAAAAAAAAAAACCAAAACAACAGCCUUUGAAUGAACAAGCGAGAGGGUCAGUUGUGUACUGUUAAAUAAGUAUAUAUUUGAGAUUUUUUUCUGUAUGGACAUUAGUUGCUUUUGUGCAUGAUAUUCUGGAAUGAAAGAAGUGUAAUGACCCAUGCUGUCUCCAGGCAUGUACUUCUUCCUUUGAGAAGAAGCCAUAGUCUACUUCUGCAACCUCUUUGUGAUCCUUCCUCUAUUAUGUGUGGAAAAAAGAAGACAGCAAAGGCUGAGACAUACAGCUGUCCUGCAUAAGAAGUGCUUACAAGUUGUUUAACUUACUGUUAUACCCUCCCAGACCAUUACCAGGAGAGAUAUAAAGAGUGUUUGGAGGGAAUUUGAAUUUCAGUGUUUGUUGCCUUCCGAUGGCAUAAAGACCUAGUGCAGAAGUAGCAAGAAAUGUAGGUCACCAGCAGAGAUGACUCUAGGGAGGCAACAUAGCACAAGAAUGCCUGAAUUAGAACAACAGAGUAACCUCCACCUGAUUCUAGUGCUUUAGUCUACAACCAGAUUGUUGUUAGUUCUGUAAGCAUAAAAGCUGCCUGCAAGCUCUAAAUUACUGUGGGCCCGGUAUUAAGGUGAGUGUCAUGCUCUUGCCUCUUAGUGGCUUUGCAGGAAUGUAUGUUGGGGAUCGUAGUCAAUUACAAGAUAAUGAAGUGGUAAAGGAAGUUAGACACUGGAGGUUUUCCUCAUUUUGUAGCAGUUUAGCACUACUCUGUUCUUUCUGUCCAGUGACUUGUUGGUCUCGGAGCAGGACAAAGUCCAAGGAAACUGGGAAAGCAGUGGAAAGAAUGGGAGCAAAUUAAAGCUGGCCACACUGGUGUUGUGUGACAGCAGUGUUCCCUUCAGGAGCUCAUGGGGAAUUCCUGGUGACUCAAAUCAGAACAAAAACAGGAGCAAUGGGAUGUGGGAGAGGGUGCAGGAAUUAGAGUUGUAGAGACUCUACAGGAAUUAGAGUUGAGGGUAGGGAGAGAGAGUGCGAAUAGGCAACCUGAGAAUCUGCUAAGUUUGUGAAAAUCUUUAUGGAAGUUGGUGGGGAAGGUGGAGAAGAGAGUGGUGCUGAAAGAGACUGUGACCCCAUCAAGAUGAAACAAGGUGGUUCUCUGUAAGGGCAUCCAAAUGGGGAGAAACACCCAUAUCUGCUUCUUUAACUUAAGAGGACCAUCUGGGCCAGACGGAAGUCUCCCGUGUGUAUUGCAUUCCCAACAAGGGUUAUAGAACCUAAUGGUUAGCAGGCUGUUAGAGAUUUCGUAACUCAUUUCCUCUGUAUAUUAAUUAUUUAUUUUGCUGGAUAGAGAAGCAGAAUAACAGAAGAGGAAGAAAUAAAAACUACGUGGUGCUAUUCAGUUAUUUAAAAAGGCUGAGUCAGUAAGGAGAUGGGUGUAGAUGGCACUACUUCAGUCAGAACAGAAAAUUCAAUGCAUUCCUAGCAAGUGUUAACUUUUUUUUUUUUUUUUUUUUUUUUUUUUUUUUGAACUAUUGAGCCAUAAGAACAAUGGGACAAAUCUACAAAUACUUGCACAGGGAAGGAGGAGCAGUGCAUUUUGCCCAAAUGAAGGUUGCACCGGCAAUGUAUCAAGAAGCCUGAAGCGCUUAAUUUUCACAGGGGAAAUCUGAUUAUAGCAGCCCAUAUUUGAGUACAGAAAUGUGUCAUGCAGAAACUACAGCACCAAUGCUGCUUCCAAGUAUAAUAUUUACGCCAUUUGCUUUACGUGGAUGGAAACAGAAACCAGAACAUGAAAGGAACCCAAAAUAAGGAGGCACUCUAUUGUGCCAUGCAUCAAGCAGGUUGUCCCAGUGCAGAAGAGCAUGAUAAAAAGGAUCAAAACCUGUCACAACUAGAGAGAUUGGAAGGACUGCUAUUUUUGCAGAUUGAAGGCACAUGAAUUGUACAGGAGAAAGGACUAGAACACGUCAGAAAUUUUGCCUUUAAAUUUAUGUUCUUGCAAAUACAAGGGAGGAAAAGAAGCAUUUGAUAUAUUUACAGCCCUUAUACAGGGUAUGUUUGAUAUGGAUCAGAAGUACACCAAGAUUCACAUUUGUCUGAAGCAUAGACGACGGAAGUUACAGUCCAAGAGUUUGAUAUUUUAUUUCUGUGAAACAAACCCUUUAUUAUCACUAACCCUUGGUUUGUGCACUUGUGUCCUGUGUUGACACUCACUGUGAUGGGAAAGAAUGAAGCAGAAAAAUGAUGCAACUCAUUUAAAGAAGGCUUGGCAGUGCCAGACACAGAAACUAGAUCUGAUACCCAAGCCACUGCCUUAACUUUGCUGUCAUUGCCCUUUCAACUUCAUGCUAUGCAAUAAGCAUUCAAGCUGCGUACACAUACAAAGAAAAUCUUCACUUGCUUUUAAAAAAAAGAUGCCUAAACUAAUAGGUUCAUAGCUGGACACCAAGUGUGCCAAAUAUUCAGGACAUCUUUAUGCAUGAAAUUUUAUGACAGCAGUGCAUCGUUUGACUUUUUUUUUCCUUUUUUAAUAAGAACUUCUAUUUAGGUAUGCUAUGUAGAAGUAUUGCAGAAAAGAAAAAUGUUUUGUGAAAAGAAAAAUAAACUGCUCCUGUUUCA